rnacentral:rRNA from 1 species
GACGAACGCUGGCGGCGUGCUUAACACAUGCAAGUCGAACGGUGAUGCUCCAGCUUGCUGGAGUGGAUCAGUGGCGAACGGGUGAGUAACACGUGAGCAACCUGCCCCAGACUCUGGAAUAAGCGCUGGAAACGGCGUCUAAUACUGGAUACGAAACUGGCCCGCAUGGGCAUGGUUUGGAAAGUUUUUCGGUUUGGGAUGGGCUCGCGGCCUAUCAGCUUGUUGGUGAGGUAAUGGCUCACCAAGGCGACGACGGGUAGCCGGCCUGAGAGGGCGACCGGCCACACUGGGACUGAGACACGGCCCAGACUCCUACGGGAGGCAGCAGUGGGGAAUAUUGCACAAUGGGCGAAAGCCUGAUGCAGCGACGCCGCGUGAGGGAUGACGGCCUUCGGGUUGUAAACCUCUUUCAGCAGGGAUGAAGCGAAAGUGACGGUACCUGCAGAAGAAGCACCGGCUAACUACGUG